CCAGCUCGAAGACAUUUCUUCCACGUUCCGGGAGUGCGCAGCCCGAUUUAUCGACCGAUUCGGGGCAAGCGAUUCUCAUCGGUGAAAAAUAGCCUUAUGUUUCUAUCCGCUCUUCAUUCUUUUUUUGUUUGCAAGGAGAUCGC